UGUUAUUCUUACUUGGAAUAAUAAGGGUGACAUUUGGGCGAGUAUCCAAUGAAGAGGAAGCUGCCCUCGGGGAAAUGAGUGGAAUCAUUCAGUAACAAAACAACAGGAUGACGUCUCCUCAAUGGAUCCAACGAGUGAAUAUAGAUGCGAGUAUAAGAAAAAACAUUUUAAUCCAGAAGCGACAGUCAGAACGAGGACAAUGGAAAAAGAUAUUCCUUUAAGGAGUCCUUUUGGGCUCGCGUUAAUCUGGCCCAUUGCGGCCAAGGAAUCACGUUGGAUGGAAGGAUAUGGAGUCUGGAGAGAGAUACUAUAUCAAAAGGACUAUAGGUGGAGUCCCACGUCGUUCAUCCCCCUCACGACACCCCAGUAAUAGGCUAAUGUCCGACCGGAAUGAAGGUUUCGGCUUAAACCUCCUUUUAAUCCCUUUGUCGAUCAGGGCCGCCAUCAAGCCACCACCGGAAACACACUAACCGCUCGCUAGGUCGUCAGGAUCCUGGUCAAAGGAGUCAAGAAUGCCAUUCAUCACGUAGCUGGAGUCAAGGGGAAUCCCUAGAAAAUGCCCAUCCUUCCUUUUGGAUCCAAGAAUGAAAUACCAGGAGACGUUAAGGAAUCCUGGUCCACGAAAAUCUUUCAAAUCAUAAAUCCAUCCAGGACCUACUAUGAUUCAGGAAGGACACGUCAUCGUUUAAACUGACUUUAGUUUUUAAUUUGAAAUUAUUCGUGGAUCAGUCAUCAAUGAUUUUCAAGGUCGAUCCUGAACUUCCUCGGGGUGUCUGCGUCUCUGUCUACUAUCGCAGUUUGUUCCAUUGGGCCUGGUCUAAUAACAAUAAUGAAGAAACUCAACUCCGCACCACCUUUCGACCCCUCUUCUUGGCACUAGGACUCUCGUUGGUUCCCUCGGCAGUUCCUCAUCGCGCACCCCCACACCUUCAUCCUUGGAAGAAAUAAAACCGGAGUCGUAAGAGCCGGAUGAUUAAUAUCCAGCCGACAGUUUGUGAAGCGAGCGGCCAAUAAACGGGAUAAAAAUACUCGUGAAAA